AUUGAACGCUGGCGGCAGGCCUAACACAUGCAAGUCGAACGGUAACAGGAAGAAGCUUGCUUCUUUGCUGACGAGUGGCGGACGGGUGAGUAGUGUCUGGGAAACUGCCUGAUGGAGGGGGAUAACUACUGGAAACGGUAGCUAAUACCGCAUAACGUCGCAAGACCAAAGAGGGGGACCUUCGGGCCUCUUGCCAUCGGAUGUGCCCAGAUGGGAUUAGCUAGUAGGUGGGGUAACGGCUCACCUAGGCGACGAUCCCUUGCUGGUCUGAGAGGAUGACCAGCCACACUGGAGGUGAGACACGGUCCAGACGCCUACGGGAGGCAGCAGUGGGGAAUAUUGCACAAUGGGGGCAAGCCUGAUGCAGCCAUGCCGCGUGUAUGAAGAAGGCCUUCGGGUUGUAAAGUACUUUCAGCGGGGAGGAAGGGAGUAAAGUUAAUACCUUUGCUCAUUGACGUUACCCGCAGAAGAAGCACCGGCUAACUCCGUG
rnacentral:rRNA from 1 species